GAUGAACGCUGGCGGCGUGCCUAAUACAUGCAAGUCGAGCGAAUGGAUUAAGAGCUUGCUCUUAUGAAGUUAGCGGCGGACGGGUGAGUAACACGUGGGUAACCUGCCCAUAAGACUGGGAUAACUCCGGGAAACCGGGGCUAAUACCGGAUAACAUUUUGAACCGCAUGGUUCGAAAUUGAAAGGCGGCUUCGGCUGGCACUUAUGGAUGGACCCGCGUCGCAUUAGCUAGUUGGUGAGGUAACGGCUCCACAAGGCAACGAAGCGGAGGCGCCCGGAGAGGGUGAUCGGCCACACUGGGACUGAGACACGGCCCAGACUCCUGCGGGAGGCAUCAGUAGGGAAUCUUCCGCAAUGGACGAAAGUCUGACGGAGAAACGCCGCGUGAGUGAUGGAGGCUUUCGGGUCGUAAAACUCUGUUGUUAGGGAAGAACAAGUGCUAGUUGAAUAAGCUGACACCUUGACGAUACCUAACCAGAAAGCCACGGCUAACUACGUGCCAGCCGCCGCUGUAA
rnacentral:rRNA from 1 species